CUUACAUGUAGUUACCCCAUAUAGAAUUCUUGUGGGAGUCUUAGAUGGUAUAGGUCUCCUAGAAGUUGCUGACAAAAGAAAAAUGAAUAACUGACCUGGAUAGUCCGGCACCCUCAUUAUAUAUCAAACUUAGUUGUUUCUCAGUGGGCAGACCCCUGAAACUGCUAUGUUUAUAAAAAAAAAAGGGGGUUAAUCCUAGAGCAGUGAUGGCGAACCUGUGGCACGCCGGGCCCUUUCUGUGGGCACGCGGCCAUAGGUUCGCCAUCAAUGCAGAGUAGGCAUACUCUGCUUCCGUGUCGGAAGGCAGGGGGAGGGAUCAGUGAAGCAGCUCCCCUGUCCUCCCGCGACCAAGCUGUGUGGAGCAUUGCCGCGCGUUACCAUGGCAACUCUCCACAAAGGUAAGAAGGAGGAAGGGGGGGUACUGAUUUAGCAUAUAUUUUUUUAAAACACCUUUACCCCAGCCCCACACACACAGC